GAGAUAACCGGUGCUGUUUUCAAU
rnacentral:siRNA from 1 species